AUGCCUCUGAAGUACUGGUCAGGACAGUGAUUUGAUGAGGAGACAGACUUUCAAAUGAGUUGUUCUUGAAUGUACUAAUUUGAUUCUUUGUCAUUAUCAGCUGACUCUCUGGCUACAGAAUUUCAGGAAGAAAGUUACCUGAUUUGAAUCACUCUCCAAAGAGUUGAACCAUGAAACAGAAACAAAAAAGGAGACGUGGAAAGAACAUACUUCUCUAGGCUUGCAAAGAUGUCAAGAGAAAUCUCAGAAUUACACGAAUAUGAUCUUCCAUCAGUGUACUCUUUGGAGUCCAAUGCCAUGAACCCUGAAGAAAGAGACAUGUCCUCUGAAUCAGAAUACUUCUCCCGUGACUCCUCUUUUGAUGCUCCCUUCUUUGCUGAAUCCUGGAAGACUCAGGAGGAUGCUCCUCAGCUGGAGUCGUUUGUGAUGGUCCCAGCCUGUAGUCAGAUAAUAGGAGAAACAUCCUCUGCCUCCACAGGAUAUUUCGCUUGUGUCUCCUCUGAAUGCGAGCUUGUCUUUUCUGAUGAGGAUGGAUACAGAGGAAGAACUGGAGUCUCCCACAAAGAAGAUACAGAUGGAAGAAAUGACCUCUCCUGAAAAAAUACGUACAUUCACCCCCACUCAAGUGACUACAAUGGAGCUCCUGACUGACAGUGAAUCCAACUUGGAUAUCCAAGCCAAAGAUGAAAAGGAGAGGGCUGAAAGUCCACCAGAACCUCGAGCUUUGGAGGAAUGUUCCAGGGCCAAGACACCUGAAUGGCUGGCAGCCCUGGACAGUGGCUUCCAGUGCAUGAGCUGCUACCGGAUCUUCCCGAGCUUAGAGGACCUUCAGAAGCACAUGGAACAUGGGAUCAGUGAGGGCUUUAGCUGCUAUGUUUUCCGUCUUGCUUUGGCUUGGCUAAAGCGAAAGUGGAACAGAAAAGGGGAAAACAGGAGGAGGAAGAAGAUUAUCAAGAUGGCCACAUCUGGUUGCCACAAAGAAAAACAUUUUGGCAUGAAGAUAUACUCAUGCAAAGACACUGACUCUCACCCCUAA
rnacentral:lncRNA from 1 species